rnacentral:lncRNA from 1 species
UAUCAGCAGCAAAUCAGCAAUUAACAAGGAGAGAUUCAAGCCGAAUUCAAUUUGGAAAACAAGCAAUGUAUUCAGCCACAAUUCCAGUCGAAUUCAAACUCUUAAUGUGCAAGAUAUUCUAGAGAAUUCUAAGGAAUAUUCUCUGAAAAUAUUGUGCUAUUAUUUGUGGCCCUUGGAUCGGAUUUUUAAUCAAUGGUGUGGAGCAAAACCCUAGGUCGACAGGACCACUAUAAAAGGGAGGCUUUUACAUCAGAAAAAGGGUCGUCGUUCAUUCAUGUAGAAACCAGAGAAAACCCUAGCAGCAGCCGAGCCUCCUCUUCUCCACCUGAUAAGACGUAUUUGCACACGCAUCAAUUAACCCUGUCAACAAAUCAGUCGUAGUAUAAAGCAAGCAGGGAUCGUUCUAAACCGGGGAUCCAACUACAGGGUAGAUCCAUCUAAUCUAAUACAAGUGUCAAAAUAAGCACAUAGGUUUAAAGGUUUUAUGAUUUCGGAAAAGACAAGAAUAAUAAAUCCUAAAUUACUUCUAUACAUAUAUACAUGUGAUCAACCAACAUUCAUGCAAACUUAACUAAACAACCAUGUAAGAAUAAAGAAGACAAUCUCUAAUCUCAUUUAAGUCUACACCGUGAGCAAUUAUACAACCUAAAUUUGAUAUGCACAUAAGUUCCUACGUGGUUCCUAUGACAUAGACCUACUUAGAAUUAGACUACGGGUUUCAUUCAACAUCGCGACACAACAAGCUCGGCUACGUGCUCUACUUAUAGGUCACACACACAAACUAAUCAUGCAAUUACGUAUCACAUAAAGAAUUUGAUGUGUUUAAGCACAAGUCCAAAUCAAACAUAGGUAGAAAAUCGGUGAAAACAAAGACAAUGCAACUUAUCAACUACGUGUAUCAAAGUCGAACUUUGGAUGAUUAACACAUGCAAUAUCAACUACUUGUAUCAACUACACAUGAUAAUGGAAUAUAGCACCGAAAAAUCUUAAAG